rnacentral:misc_RNA from 1 species
CACAAUAAAAUAUGAAGGCUGUACGCGGCUGUGCUCUCGGGCCAGUUUUGCGGAGGCUGAAUUAUUUAUUACCCUUGUCUUUUGCGCACUUGUUGUUUCCUGGGCGGGUUCGCCCCGCCACCAGGACCACAUCAUAAACCUUUUUUUAUGCAGUUGCAAUCAGCGUCAGUAUAACAAAUGUAAAUCAUUUAC